rnacentral:rRNA from 1 species
AACGAAGUGAUCUAUCCAUGAGCAAGUUGAAGCUAGUGUAAGAACUAGUGGAGGACUGAACCCAUAGGCGUUGAAAAGCCCCGGGAUGACUUGUGGAUAGGGGUGAAAGGCCAAUCAAACUUCGUGAUAGCUGGUUCUCUCCGAAAUAUAUUUAGGUAUAGCGUUGUGUCGUAAUAUAAGGGGGUAGAGCACUGAAUGGGCUAGGGCAUACACCAAUGUACCAAACCCUAUCAAACUCCGAAUACCUUAUAUGUAAUCACAGCAGUCAGGCGGCGAGUGAUAAAAUCCGUCGUCAAGAGGGAAACAACCCAGACUACCAGCUAAGGUCCCUAAAUCUUACUUAAGUGGAAAACGAUGUGAAGUUACUUAAACAACCAGGAGGUUGGCUUAGAAGCAGCCAUCCUUUAAAGAAAGCGUAAUAGCUCACUGGUCUAGUGAUUUUGCGCGGAAAAUAUAACGGGGCUAAAGUAAGUACCGAAGCUGUAGACUUGCGCACAACUUAGAUUAUUUAAGUUUAGAAUAUGAGAAACUAAGUUAUAUGUUUAGUUAUAUUUUUACUGAUUUUUAUAGAGUAAAGAUAGAAAUAAAACUUAGUAAAAUCAGUAAAAAUAUUCUUAGACUAAAGUUAAGUAGUUUAAGUUGUGUGCAAGUGGUAGGAGAGCGUUCUAUUUGCGUCGAAGGUAUACCGGUAAGGAGUGCUGGAGCGAAUAGAAGUGAGCAUGCAGGCAUGAGUAGCGAUAAUUAAUGUGAGAAUCAUUAACGCCGUAAACCCAAGGUUUCCUACGCGAUGCUCGUCAUCGUAGGGUUAGUCGGGUCCUAAGUCGAGUCCGAAAGGGGUAGACGAUGGCAAAUUGGUUAAUAUUCCAAUACCAACAUUAGUGUGCGAUGGAAGGACGCUUAGGGCUAAGGGGGCUAGCGGAUGGAAGUGCUAGUCUAAGGUCGUAGGAGGUUAUACAGGCAAAUCCGUAUAACAAUACUCCGAGAACUGAAAGGCUUUUUGAAGUCUUCGGAUGGAUAGAAGAACCCCUGAUGCCGUCGAGCCAAGAAAAGUUUCUAAGUUUAGCUAAUGUUGCCCGUACCGUAAACCGACACAGGUGGGUGGGAUGAGUAUUCUAAGGCGCGUGGAAGAACUCUCUUUAAGGAACUCUGCAAAAUAGCACCGUAUCUUCGGUAUAAGGUGUGGUUCGCUUCGUAUUAGGAUUUACUCCGAAAGCGAAGAAACUUACAACAAAGAGUCCCUCCCGACUGUUUACCAAAAACACAGCACUCUGCUAACUCGUAAGAGGAUGUAUAGGGUGUGACGCCUGCCCGGUGCUCGAAGGUUAAUUGAUGGGGUUAGCAUUAGCGAAGCUCUUGAUCGAAGCCCGAGUAAACGGCGGCCGUAACUAUAACGGUCCUAAGGUAGCGAAAUUCCUUGUCGGUUAAAUACCGACCUGCAUGAAUGGCGUAACGAGAUGGGAGCUGUCUCAAAGAGGGAUCCAGUGAAAUUGUAGUGGAGGUGAAAAUUCCUCCUACCCGCGGCAAGACGGAAAGACCCCGUGGACCUUUACUACAGCUUGACACUGCUAUUUGGAUAAGAAUGUGCAGGAUAGGUGGGAGGCUUUGAGUAUAUGACGCCAGUUGUAUAUGAGCCAUUGUUGAGAUACCACUCUUUCUUAUUUGGGUAGCUAACCAGCUUGAGUUAUCCUCAAGUGGGACAAUGUCUGGUGGGUAGUUUGACUGGGGCGGUCGCCUCCCAAAUAAUAACGGAGGCUUACAAAGGUUGGCUCAGAACGGUUGGAAAUCGUUCGUAGAGUAUAAAGGUAUAAGCCAGCUUAACUGCAAGACAUACAAGUCAAGCAGAGACGAAAGUCGGUCUUAGUGAUCCGGUGGUUCUGUGUGGAAGGGCCAUCGCUCAAAGGAUAAAAGGUACCCCGGGGAUAACAGGCUGAUCUCCCCCAAGAGCUCACAUCGACGGGGAGGUUUGGCACCUCGAUGUCGGCUCAUCGCAUCCUGGGGCUGGAGCAUGUCCCAAGGGUAUGGCUGUUCGCCAUUUAAAGCGGUACGCGAGCUGGGUUCAGAACGUCGUGAGACAGUUCGGUCCCUAUCUGCCGUGGGCGUAAGAAGAUUGAAGAGAUUUGACCCUAGUACGAGAGGACCGGGUUGAACAAACCACUGGUGUAGCUGUUGUUCUGCCAAGAGCAUCGCAGCGUAGCUAAGUUUGGAAAGGAUAAACGCUGAAAGCAUCUAAGCGUGAAGCCAACUCUAAGAUGAAUCUUCUCUAAGCUCUCUAGAAGACUACUAGUUUGAUAGGCUGGGUGUGUAAUGGAUGAAAGUCCUUUAGCUGACCAGUACUAAUAGAGCGUUUGGCUUAUCUUUAAUAAAGCAU